AUCAGGAUGUUCGAGUGGUUAAGGUGGUAGGCUCAAAAUCCACUGGAGGAAUCUCCACGUGGGUUCGAACCCCACUUCUGACA
rfam:Taenia asiatica genome assembly, scaffold: TASK_scaffold0001265